UGAUAGCCACUCGGCCCUCCAAAUCGGC
rnacentral:sRNA from 1 species